rnacentral:rRNA from 1 species
ACACAUGCAAGUCGAACGAAGCACUUGAGAAUGAUUCUUCGGAAGAUUUCUCUUGUGACUUAGUGGCGGACGGGUGAGUAACGCGUGGGUAACCUGCCUCACACAGGGGGAUAACAGUUGGAAACGACCGCUAAUACCGCAUAACCCGCUAGGGCCGCAUGGCCCGGACGGAAAAGAUUUAUCGGUGUGAGAUGGACCCGCGUUGGAUUAGCUAGUUGGCAGGGUAACGGCCUACCAAGGCGACGAUCCAUAGCCGGCCUGAGAGGGUGAACGGCCACAUUGGGACUGAGACACGGCCCAAACUCCUACGGGAGGCAGCAGUGGGGAAUAUUGCACAGUGGGGGAAACCCUGAUGCAGCGACGCCGCGUGAGUGAAGAAGUAUUUCGGUAUGUAAAGCUCUAUCAGCAGGGAAGAAAAUGACGGUACCUGACUAAGAAGCCCCGGCUAACUACGUGCCAGCAGCCGCGGUAAUACGUAGGGGGCAAGCGUUAUCCGGAUUUACUGGGUGUAAAGGGAGCGUAGACGGCUAAGCAAGUCAGAAGUGAAAGGCUGGGGCUCAACCCCGGGACUGCUUUUGAAACUGUUUGGCUAGAGUGCUGGAGAGGUAAGCGGAAUUCCUAGUGUAGCGGUGAAAUGCGUAGAUAUUAGGAGGAACACCAGUGGCGAAGGCGGCUUACUGGACAGUAACUGACGUUGAGGCUCGAAAGCGUGGGGAGCAAACAGGAUUA